AACGAACGCUGGCGGCAGGCUUAACACAUGCAAGUCGAACGCAUCGCAAGAUGAGUGGCAGACGGGUGAGUAACGCGUGGGAACAUACCCUUUUCUACGGAAUAGCUCUGGGAAACUGGAAUUAAUACCGUAUACGCCCUACGGGGGAAAGAUUUAUCGGGGAAGGAUUGGCCCGCGUUGGAUUAGCUAGUUGGUGGGGUAAAGGCCUACCAAGGCGACGAUCCAUAGCUGGUCUAAGAGGAUGAUCAGCCACAUUGGGACUGAGACACGGCCCAAACUCCUACGGGAGGCAGCAGUGGGGAAUAUUGGACAAUGGGCGCAAGCCUGAUCCGGCCAUGCCGCGUGAGUGAUGAAGGCCUUAGGGUUGUAAAGCUCUUUCACCGAUGAAGAUAAUGACGGUAGUCGGAGAAGAAGCCCCGGCUAACUUCGUGCCAGCCGCCGCCGUAACAC
rnacentral:rRNA from 1 species